rnacentral:lncRNA from 10 species
AAUGAUUUUACCAGCACUAAAAGGAAUAAAGAAGAAAAAGCAAAACAAAAAGAUCUUGUUGCGGGACAAUCAAAGAUGGGAGACACCGAACAGCGUGAGUUCAGGAAAGGUCUUUAUUAAAAGGUGAUCACCUGGCUCAGUAGGACUAGCAUCCAGUAAAGUCUGAGCCCCGGACAAAGAAAGCAGCCACCUUUUAAGCAGUCAGUGGUCAGGAGCUACGUGAUGCAGGAAGUGUACUUACAGAAGCGAGAAUUAAGGCAGUUGAUCAGUCUUUUACAUUUAUCUAUACUACAUGUUCCACAUCCUUGGGAAACCAUGUUUCUGUAUCAACCUUGUAACUUUGCAGCUGGGCUAGGAAGCUGAAGCAGGAACUCGCUGAGCCUCAAGGAAUGUGAAACUAGCAAGUACAGGCAAGGCUCACUGAGCACAGAAGGAAAAACAGGCAGUUAGUAUUCUUCUCUAACUUAGACUACAGGGGCACUACACUACAUUUAGCUUUUGAGAGAAAAAGUAAAAAUUUUUGGUUGUCUUUGAUUAUACUUAUACAAUUCAUGAAUUCGCUCUUCAAUCUCAGAACAACCAAGAUGGGUUAUCUGCCUGGCCGAUGCCACGAUGUCCAUUCCUGUACUGUACACAUGGUAACAAAAAAGGGAAGAUGGAGCCUCCAUGUUGGAUAUGCCUGGCCCCCAGAAGUUCCAGGGUCUAAUCUUGACAUAAACCAGACAUGGAGGCCCAGCUGCAAAAUGCCAGAGAUUACCUCAAGGCUGUUAGUCUACAACCCGGCCAUCGUUCAGAUGACAUCAGAUCACCCUGACAGUCACCAGGGAAACAAGAGACACAGACCUUGAACUCAGCACCACUCCUGCAUACUUCCCAUUCCAAGUUCCCCUUUUUAAGUCCCUCUCCCUAGCCUAAAGUUGGGAAUGGUCUUUUAAAGGCAUGAGCCUGGCUAUUCCCCAACUUCUAGCAUUUGAAUAAAGUUGCUUUCCUUUCACCACACC